AGAGUUUGAUCCUGGCUCAGGAUAAACGCUGGCGGCGCACAUAAGACAUGCAAGUCGAACGAACUUAACUCAUUCUUUACGAUUGAGAGCGGUUAGUGGCGGACUGGUGAGUAAUACGUAAGCAACCUGCCUAUCAGAGGGGAAUAACAGUGAGAAAUCAUUGCUAAUACCGCAUAUGCUAACAGUAUUGCAUGAUACAGUUAGGAAAGGAGCAAUCCGCUGAUAGAUGGGCUUACGCCUGAUUAGCUAGUUGGUGGGGCAACGGCCUACCAAGGCGACGAUCAGUAGCCGGACUGAGAGGUUGAACGGCCACAUUGGGACUGAGAUACGGCCCAGACUCCUACGGGAGGCAGCGGUCGGGAAUAUUGCGCAAUGGAGGAAACUCUGACGCAGUGACGCCGCGUAUAGGAAGAAGGUUUUCGGAUUGUAAACUAUUGUCGUUAGGGAAGAUAAAAGACUGUACCUAAGGAGGAAGCCCCGGCUAACUAUGUGCCAGCAGCCGCGGUAAUACAUAGGGGGCAAGCGUUAUCCGGAAUUAUUGGGUGUAAAGGGUGCGUAGACGGAGAGACAAGUUGGUUGUGAAAUCCCUCGGCUCAACUGAGGAACUGCAACCAAAACUAUUUCCCUUGAGUGUCGGAGAGGAAAGUGGAAUUCCUAGUGUAGCGGUGAAAUGCGUAGAUAUUAGGAGGAACACCAGUGGCGAAGGCGACUUUCUGGACGAUAACUGACGUUGAGGCACGAAAGUGUGGGGAGCAAACAGGAUUAGAUACCCUGGUAGUCCACACCGUAAACGAUGGAUA
rnacentral:rRNA from 1 species